CAGGCGUGGUGGCGUGUGCCUGUAGUCCCAGCUCCUCCGGAGUCAGGCUGGAGGAUCGCUUUAGUCCAGGAGUUCUGGGCUGUAGUGAGCUAUGCCGAUCAGGUGUCCGCACUGUUUGGCAUGAAUAUGGUGACCUCCUGGGAGCCGGGGACCACCAGGUUGCCUAAGAAGGGGUGAACCGGCCCAGGUCGGAAACGGAGCAGGUCAAAACUCCUGUGCUGAUCAGUAGUGGGAUCGGGCCUGUGAAUAGCCAUUGCACCACUCCAGUCUGGGCAACAUAGGGAGACCCCAUCUCU
rnacentral:SRP_RNA from 1 species